rnacentral:rRNA from 2 species
UACGUAGGGUGCGAGCGUUAAUCGGAAUUACUGGGCGUAAAGCGUGCGCAGGCGGUUAUGCAAGACAGAUGUGAAAUCCCCGGGCUCAACCUGGGAACUGCAUUAGUGACUGCAUAGCUAGAGUGCGGCAGAGGGGGAUGGAAUUCCGCGUGUAGCAGUGAAAUGCGUAGAUAUGCGGAGGAACACCGAUGGCGAAGGCAAUCCCCUGGGCCUGCACUGACGCUCAUGCACGAAAGCGUGGGGAGCAAACAGG